GACGAACGCUGGCGGCGUGCUUAACACAUGCAAGUCGAACGGAAAGGCCCUGCUUUUGUGGGGUGCUCGAGUGGCGAACGGGUGAGUAACACGUGAGUAACCUGCCCUUGACUUUGGGAUAACUUCAGGAAACUGGGGCUAAUACCGGAUAGGAGCUCCUGCUGCAUGGUGGGGGUUGGAAAGUUUCGGCGGUUGGGGAUGGACUCGCGGCUAAUCAGCUUGUUGGUGGGGUAGUGGCUUACCAAGGCUUUGACGGGUAGCCGGCCUGAGAGGGUGACCGGCCACAUUGGGACUGAGAUACGGCCCAGACUCCUACGGGAGGCAGCAGUGGGGAAUAUUGCACAAUGGGCGGAAGCCUGAUGCAGCAACGCCGCGUGCGGGAUGACGGCCUUCGGGUUGUAAACCGCUUUCGCCUGUGACGAAGCGUGAGUGACGGUAAUGGGUAAAGAAGCACCGGCUAACUACGUG
rnacentral:rRNA from 1 species